rnacentral:tRNA from 1 species
GCCGAGGUAGCUCAGUGGUAGAGCACCGGACUGAAAAUCCGGGUGUCGGCGGUUCGAAUCCGCCCCUCGGCACCA